UACAGAGGUCUCAAGCGUUGUUCGGAUUCAUUGGGCGUAAAGGGUGCGUAGGCGGCGCGGUAAGUCGGGUGUGAAAUCUCGGAGCUUAACUCCGAAACUGCAUUCGAUACUGCCGUGCUUGAGGACUGGAGAGGAGACUGGAAUUUACGGUGUAAGCGGUGAAUGCGUAGAUAUCGUAAGGAAGACCAGUGGCGAAGGCGGGUCUCUGGACAGUUCCUGACGCUGAGGCACGAAGGUCAGGGAGCAAACGGG
rnacentral:rRNA from 1 species